CCAUCCCACGGGACGCAGCAGUGAGGAAUAUUGGUCAAUGGGCGGAAGCCUGAACCAGCCAAGUCGCGCGAGGGAAUAAGGCCCUACGGGUCGUAAACCUCUUUUGCCGGGGAGCAAGGGCCGGGACGCGUCCCGGCCCGGAGAGUACCCGGAGAAAAAGCAUCGGCUAACUCCGUGCCAGCAGCCGCGGUAAUACGGAGGAUGCGAGCGUUAUCCGGAUUUAUUGGGUUUAAAGGGUGCGUAGGCGGGCUUUUAAGUCAGCGGUAAAAAUUCGG
rnacentral:rRNA from 1 species